rnacentral:Y_RNA from 1 species
GACUGGUCCAAAGGUAGUGAGUUCUCUCAAUUGACUGUUCACAGUCAGUUACAGGGCGAACUCCUGUUCUGCUAUUCCUCCCCUUCUCACUACUGCACUUAACUAGUCUUUA